CUGGCUGGGGAGGGCAGAGCCAGAGGGCAGGAGGAGGGAGAGGGAUGGGCAGAGAUACAAUGGCAGCUCCCCCAGCCCAUGGGGUAGGAGAUUGGGAGGGGCUGCCCCGCCCAGCAGCCACUGGAAAUCUUUUUCCCUAGACAUGGUCAAACCAGGGAUAUCAAAGGUGAACCAGGAAGUACUGGGUUUACUGGUUUGCUUACCGGUUAACCGGACCUUGCCAGUUAACCCCGCCGACCGGCCAGCCCCCCUGGGCCAGAGGAGUCCCGGCUACAGUGGGCUGGGGGGUGUGGGGCAGCCCCACGCCGGUGGGCAGGCAGGAUCCCGGACAGAGCCACGCUGGAGUGGCUCCAGCCCUGUCUUCGGCAGCCAUGGCGGCCUGGAGCAGACCCUGCUGUACCUGGUCGUUGGGACCCCAGCCCCGGCUGCCCUGUGCCGGCCCGCUGGAGAGACCUGAGGCCCUCUGCAGUGAAAGGACACAUUGGAGGCCCGGAAAUUGCCUUUUGACGCUCACUUAUGUUAUGGAACUGCCGGCUGCAGAAUAACGCCCCCAUUUUGCUCCAGAUCGUCCUAUCCUCCUAGGGGCUGGGGCAGGGAAAUGGCUGUGGUGGAUCCAGCUCAGGAAACCUCCAUCCACCAGUUCUGUAAUUCCUCCCAUCCUCACACAGUCGCUGGCUACAUUUCCUAGCCUGACUCUCACCCCAUGGAUCUCACGCCUCCUCUGCCAUUGGGCAGACAUGGAAACAGCAAAGGUUCUAUCCAUGGAAAUUCACCCAUACUCGUCUGCUGAAAGAUAAAAUAAUGGAAAUCUGCCUCCAGAGAACGUGGAAGGCUGACGCAGAAGGGGAACUGAAAGAUGCCCACAUUCAAAUCAAAACGGGAUGUUGAGAACUGACUGUUGCAACGCAGGCCCCCACCAGUCCCUAGGACGGGGGUGGCCAACCUGAGCCUGAGAAGGAGCCAGAAUUUACCAGUGAACAUUGCCAAAGAGCCACAGGAAUAUGUCAGCAGCCCCCCAUCCACUAACCCCCUCCAGCCCCAAGCACCUCCCGCCCACCAGCAGCCCCGCCAAUCAGCGCCUGGGAAUCUGGGAAUUACCUUCUCUAAAAACUCAUCUUCUUUCGAAAACGUGUGGAAAUAGCUGAUUCAAGAAGUUGUUGACAGAUGGAUAGUACGCGUCUAUCAGCAGCUCCUUGGGUCACCAGCCGCUGUCAACCAAGCCAGUUGGCAGACCGAAGGCAGGGCAAGAAUGCUGACAGAACAUUCUUUGCUGUUGCGAUACGUGACAUCACAAUAAACUUAUACAGAAACACACCUGGACACCCACCCAGAGAGACACGCACCCACAGAAGCUAGUAACAUUUACAACAUUGAGAGAUGCACCCAAAAUCUCUAGGAAUUUUGAUUUGGGGGAGGGGAUCAUAGGUGCUGACUGCAUGGGUGCUCCAGGGCUGGAGCACCCACGGGGAAAAAUUAGCGGGUGCUUAGCACCCACUGGCAGCCAAGCUCUACCCUCCCCCCAGCCCAUCGCCCGCUAACCCACUCCGCCCCCUCCCUCCCAGGGCCUUCUGCCUGCCACAACAAACAGCUGUUUGGCGGCAUUCAGGAUGCUCCCAGUGGGUGGGGGAGGAGCAAAGCCGUAACUCACCCAGAGACGUGAUUUUAUUAAAAGGUUCAGAGGCCCAGAAACACGUUGAAAAUGUUCGAAGGCCCUGUGGGAAGGAGCAGAGCGUUGGGCCUGUGGGAUCAAUACGAUGACUCAGUGGAAGCUCUUUGGGGCAGGGAGAGCUUUGUGUGGCUGGGCAGGGCCUAGCAGAAUGGGGUCCCGGGCUCAGACUGACGGCUGUGCAGCCAGUG